rnacentral:misc_RNA from 1 species
AACGCACCUUGCGCCCUUUGGUAUUCCGAAGGGCAUGCCUGUUUGAGUGUCAUUAAAUUCUCAACCUUACUUGCUUUUUUGCUUGUGAGGCUUGGAUGUGAGGGUUUGCUGGCUUCCUUUGGUGGAUGGUCUGCUCCCUUUAAAUGCAUUAGUGGGAUCCUUUGUGGACGGUCACUUGGUGUGAUAAUUAUCUACGCCGCUUGACUUUGAAGCAAGACUUGUGGGAACCUGCUCAUAACUGUCUCUUACCGAGACAAAUUACUUGACAAUUUGACCUCAAAUCAGGUAGGACUACCCGCUGAACUUAA